CUUAAGGAAUUGACGGGGGAGCACCACAACGGGUGGAGCUUGCGGUUUAAUUGGAUUCAACGCCGGAAUCUUACCGGGACCGACAGCAAUAUGAAGGCCAGGCUGAAGACUUUGCCGGAUUAGCUGAGAGGUGGUGCAUGGCCGUCGUCAGUUCGUACUGUGAAGCAUCCUGUUAAGUCAGGCAACGAGCGAGACCCACGCCCACAGUUGCCAGCGUACUCUCUGGAGUGACGGGUACACUGUGGGACCGCCGCUGCUAAAGCGGAGGAAGGAAUGGGCAACGGUAGGUCAGUAUGCCCCGAAUAUCCCGGGCUACACGCGAGCUACAAUGGUUGGUACAAUGGGUAUCUACCCCGAAAGGGGACGGGAAUCUCCUAAAACCAAUCUUAGUUCGGAUUGGGGGCUGCAACUCGCCCUCAUGAAGCUGGAAUCCGUAGUAAUCGCGUUUCAACAGAACGCGGUGAAUACGUCCCUGCUCCUU
rnacentral:rRNA from 1 species